UACGGGGGGGGGCAAGCGUUGUUCGGAAUUACUGGGCGUAAAGGGCGCGUAGGCGGUCAGACCAAGUCGAGUGUGAAAAUUUCCCAGGGCUUAACUCUGGCGCGCUCGCUCGAUACUGGUCGGCUAGAGUGUGGAAGAGGAUGCUGGAAUUCCCGGUGUAGCGGUGAAAUGGCGUAGAUAUCGGAGGAACACCAGUGGCGAAGGCGGGCAUCUGGGCCAACACUGACGCUGAGGCACGAAAGCG
rnacentral:rRNA from 1 species